UACGUAGGGGGGCUAGCGUUGUCCGGAAUCAUUGGGCGUAAAGAGCGUGUAGGCGGCCCGGUAAGUCCGCUGUGAAAGUCGGGGGGCUCAACCCUCGAAAGCCGGGUGGAUACUGUCGGGCUAGAGUGCGGAAGAGGCGAGUGGAAUUCCUGGUGUAGCGGUGAAAUGCGCAGAUAUCAGGAGGAACACCGAUUGCGAAGGCAGCUCGCUGGGACGUAACUGACGCUGAGACGCGAAAGCGUGGGGGAGCAAACAGG
rnacentral:rRNA from 1 species